rnacentral:rRNA from 1 species
UACGUAGGGAGCAAGCGUUUGUCCGGAAUCAUUGGGCGUAAAGCGCGCGUAGGCGGCCCUGUAAGUCCGUUGUGAAAGUCAAAGGCUCAACCUUUGAAAGCCGAUGGAUACUGCAGGGCUAGAGUCCGGAAGAGGCGAGUGGAAUUCCUGGUGUAGCGGUGGAAUGCGCAGAUAUCAGGAGGAACACCGAUUGCGAAGGCAGACUCGCUGGGACGUGGACUGACGCUGGAGACGCGAAAGCGUGGGGAGCAAACAGG